AUUGAACGCUGGCGGCAGGCCUAACACAUGCAAGUCGAACGAGUGGCGGACGGGUGAGUCAUGUCUGGGAAACUGCCUGCUGGAGGGGGAUAACUACUGGAAAAGGUAGCUAAUACCGCAUACAAUCAGAUGUGCCCCGAUGGGAUUAGCUAGUUGGUGGGGUAACGGCUCACCAAGGAGACGAUCCCUAGCUGUUCUGAGAGGAUGACCCGUCACACUGGAACUGAGACACGGUCAAGACUCCGACGGGAGGCAGCAGUGGGGAAUAGUGCACAAUGGGCGCAAGCCUGAUGCAGCCAUGCCGCGUGUAUGAAGAAGGUCUUCGGGUUGUAAAGUACUUUCAGCAGGGAGGCGUUACCCGCAGAAGAAGCACCGGCUAACUCCGUGCCAGCCGCCGCGGUAAUUC
rnacentral:rRNA from 1 species